GACCGGGGUGGAAACAUCCCUUUCCGCAAGGACUGCCGCGGAGGUGCUGCAUGGCUGUCGUCAGCUCGUGUCGUGAGAUGUUGGAUAUAAGUCCCGCAACGAGCGCAACCCUUAUCCCUAGUUGCCAGCGAGUAAUGUCGGGCACUCUAGUGAAACCGCCCCGGAUAACGGGGAGGAAGGUGGGGAUGACGUCAAGUCCUCAUGGCCUUUAUGUCCAGGGCUACACACGUGCUACAAUGGUCGGUACAAACCGUCGCAAACCUGCGAAGGGGAGCUAAUCGGAAAAAGCCGGCCUCAGUUCGGAUUGGACUCUGCUGUUGGAACUCCAUGAAGCUGGAAUCGCUAGUAAUCGCAGAUCAGAACGCUGCGGUGAAUACGUUCCCG
rnacentral:rRNA from 1 species